AUACAUAUACAUAUAUACAUACAUAUAUAUAUAUGUACAUAUAUAUAUAACAUGGUACAGAAAACAAGGAGUCUUCAGGGCUGCCAGUCUUGCAGUAAAGACUGAGUGGUAGUAUAUGUCUCCUACAUCU